GAUCUGGACCUGCAGGUCCACCCGAGCCAGCUCCAUCAACCCGUUCCCAAAACUGAACUGAGGGAACACCAGGAACACGUUGCUGAGGGUGUGGUACACCGCCUGGAUGUUCUGAAAAACAAGACGUAAUGGCGUGGAAGUACACGAUGGCCGUGGAGAUGAUGGUGUUCAUGCUGAUGAAGAGGUUGAUGCACACGUAGCAGAUGAAGGCCAUCUCUGCGUCUUUGAACACGGUCGACACCAGCCUCUUAGAGCCGGUGUGAUGCUCCUGAACCUCGUAGAUGACGAAGCUGGCCGUCAUGAUGGAGAACCCGGUGAGGACGCACAUCGCCACCAGGAGGUUGACCAAGUUGCGAACGCUGAGGGAGAAAAGGUUUACUCGGAUACGACUCUAAGCUGAGCUUUACAUCUUGAGCGUGGGCUUUCUGAAGCGGUAAAAUGCUGAUCCGAAGAUUAAUCAAGCACGCGCUUAAGAACUUGGUGCCACGACCCAGAUGGCUCGCUAAAACCUCCCUGGUGAGUUACGCCGUUAUUUACGAACUAGAUGGAAAG